UUUCCGUAGGUGAACCUGCGGAAGGAUCAUUAUUGUAUAACCGAGGUGCGAGGGCUGUCGCUGACCCGAAAGGUCGUGCACGCCCGAGUGCCCUCACACACAUCCACCUCACCCCUAUGUGCACCACCGCGUGGGUCCCCCUUUGGCUUGUUCGGAGGGGGGCUUACGUUUUCACUCAAACUUAGUAUGCAGUGUAGAAUGUAUUUUUUGUUUUUGCGAUCACGCAAUCAAUACAACUUUCAACAACGGAUCUCUUGGCUCUC
rnacentral:misc_RNA from 1 species